ACUCCUGCGGGAGGCAGCAGUGGGGAAUAUUGCACAAUGGGCGCAAGCCUGAUGCAGCCAUGCCGCGUGUAUGAAGAAGGCCUUCGGGUUGUAAAGUACUUUCAGCGGGGAGGAAGGCGAUAAGGUUAAUAACCUUGUCGAUUGACGUUACCCGCAGAAGAAGCACCGGCUAACUCCGUGCCAGCAGCCGCGGUAAUACGGAGGGUGCAAGCGUUAAUCGGAAUUACUGGGCGUAAAGCGCACGCAGGCGGUCUGUCAAGUCGGAUGUGAAAUCCCCGGGCUCAACCUGGGAACUGCAUUCGAAACUGGCAGGCUAGAGUCUUGUAGAGGGGGGUAGAAUUCCAGGUGUAGCGGUGAAAUGCGUAGAGAUCUGGAGGAAUACCGGUGGCGAAGGCGGCCCCCUGGACAAAGACUGACGCUCAGGUGCGAAAGCGUGGGGAGCAAACAGGAUUAGAUACCCCGGUAGUCCCAUGA
rnacentral:rRNA from 1 species